AGAACGAACGCUGGCGGCAGGCCUCAAACAUGCAAGUCUAGGGGGUGUAGCAAUACAUCACCGGCGGACGGGUGCGUAACGCGUGGGAAUGUACCUAUUGGUUCGGAACAACUGAGGGAAACUUCAGCUAAUACCGGAUGAGCCCGAAAGGGGAAAGAUUUCUCGCCAAUAGAUCAGCCCGCGUCCGAUUAGCUAGUUGGUGGGGUUAAAGCCUACCAAGGCGACGAUCGGUAGCUGUUCUGAGAGGAAGAUCAGCCACACUGGGACUGAGACACGGCCCAGACUCCUACGGGAGGCAGCAGUUGGGAAUCUUGGACAAUGGGGAAACCCUGAUCCAGCCAUGCCGCGUGAGUGAUGAAGGCCUUGGGUUGUAAAACUCUUUCGACGGGGACGAUAAUGACGGUACCCGUAGAAGAAGCUCCGGCUAACUUCGCGCCAGCAGCCGC
rnacentral:rRNA from 1 species